rnacentral:rRNA from 1 species
GAUGAACGCUGGCGGCGUGCCUAAUACAUGCAAGUCGAACGAACAGACGUUGAGCGUGCUCUUCUACCGUUAGCGAAGGACGGGGGAGUAAGGCGUAGAUAACCUUCUUUUAAGUCGGGGUGAACUUCGGAAAACACGUGGCAAUAAUGGCUAAUACAUCCUACUGCAUGGUUCAGUAGGGAAAGAGGGUUUUGGUGUCUUUUACAGCUGUUUUCGCGUCGCAUUAGCUAGUUGGUGAGGUAACGGCUUACCAAGGCUACGAAGCGUAGCCGACCUGAGAGGGUGAUCGGCCACACUGGAACUGGGACACGGUCCAGACUCCUACGGGAGGCAGCAGUGGGGAACAUUGGACAAUGGGCGAAAGCCUGACGGAGCAACGCCGCGUGGGUGAUGAAGGUUUUCGGAUCGUAAAACCCUUUUAUUGGGAAAGAAAAGCAGUAUAAUUAAAUAUGCACGUCUUGACGGUACCUAAUCAGAAAGCCACGGCUAACUACGUG